ACGCUCAACUAGUCCACACCGGACGCGUCCGGUGCUCACCGGACUCGUGCGCAGAGAGCUCCGCAAAGUCGCACGGUCACCGGACGCAAGGCACCGGACGCACCCUGAGCGUCCGGUGCUCACCGGACUCAUGCGCAGUGAGGGUCGCCAAACCGCUCGCACACCGGACGCUGAGCACCGGACUCUCUCCGGUGCGUCCGGUGCACUCUGCUGCACCCGACAGCACACCGGACGCUAAAGGCCAGCGUCCGGUGCCUCCACGCAGAGCGUCCGGUGAGUGUUUC
rnacentral:lncRNA from 1 species